rnacentral:rRNA from 1 species
AAGACCUCGCGCUACUAGAGCGGCCGAUGCCCGAUUAGCUAGUUGGUGAGGUAAUGGCCCACCAAGGCAACGAUCGGUAGCUGGUCUGAGAGGAUGAUCAGCCACACUGGGACUGAGACACGGCCCAGACUCCUACGGGAGGCAGCAGUGGGGAAUUUUGGACAAUGGGCGAAAGCCUGAUCCAGCCAUGCCGCGUGAGUGAAGAAGGCCUUCGGGUUGUAAAGCUCUUUCAGCCGGAACGAAAUCGUCCGGGCUAAUACUCCGGAUGGAUGACGGUACUGGAAGAAGAAGCACCGGCUAACUACGUGCCAGCAGCCGCGGUAAUACGUAGGGUGCAGGCGUUAAUCGGAAUUACUGGGCGUAAAGCGUGCGCAGGCGGCUUUUCAAGUCAGAUGUGAAAUCCCCGGGCUUAACCUGGGAACU